rnacentral:hammerhead_ribozyme from 1 species
AUCAAGAUGAUGAGUCUUAAAUAUGACGAAAUGCUCAUCCUGGAU